CUACGGGUCGCAGCAGUGAGGAAUAUUGCACAAUGGGGGAACCCUGAUGCAGCAACGCCGCGUGGAGGAUGACGCAUUUCGGUGUGUAAACUCCUUUUAUAUGUCAAGAAAAUGACGGUAGCAUAUGAAUAAGCACCGGCUAACUCCGUGCCAGCAGCCGCGGUAAUACGGAGGGUGCAAGCGUUACUCGGAAUCACUGGGCGUAAAGGACGCGUAGGCGGGUUGGAAAGUCAGGUGUGAAAUCCUACAGCUUAACUGUAGAACUGCACUUGAAACUUCUAAUCUAGAGUAUGGGAGGGGGAGAUGGAAUUAGUGGUGUAGGGAUAAAAUCCGUAGAUAUCACUAGGAAUACCUAAAGCGAAGGCGAUCUCCUGGAACAUUACUGACGCUAAGGCGUGAAAGCGUGGGGAGCAAACAGGAUUAGAUACCCCUGUAGUC
rnacentral:rRNA from 1 species